rnacentral:lncRNA from 1 species
UACUACUGGCUUAGGUUUGGACCUAUGAAGUCACACACAUUAGAGUUCAUGAUCCAAUUGGAUGGUUGAUCAAUGAUUAAGAAUCAUUCUAGGGUUAAACGAUCAAUAUGAUUGACAUUUAACCUAGUGCAAGUGUUGUAGGAGGAUUGAUUAGCAAUUCAAUUAUUAAUUGGCUUAAUUUGAUUAAGCCAAUGGGCUG